rnacentral:rRNA from 1 species
AGCCAUGCCGCGUGUGUGAAGAAGGCCUUCGGGUUGUAAAGCACUUUCAGUAAGGAGGAAAGGUUAAGUGUUAAUAGCACUUAGCUGUGACGUUACUUACAGAAGAAGCACCGGCUAACUCCGUGCCAGCAGCCGCGGUAAUACGGAGGGUGCGAGCGUUAAUCGGAAUUACUGGGCGUAAAGCGUACGCAGGCGGUUUGUUAAGCGAGAUGUGAAAGCCCCGGGCCAACCUGGGAACUGCAUUUCGAACUGGCAAACUAGAGUGUGAUAGAGGGUGGUAGAAUUUCAGGUGUAGCGGUGAAAUGCGUAGAGAUCUGAAGGAAUACCGAUGGCGAAGGCAGCCACCUGGGUCAACACUGACGCUCAUGUACGAAAGCGUGGGGAGCAAACAGGAUUAGAUACCCUGGUAGUCCACGCCGUAAACGAUGUCUACUAGAAGCUCGGUUCCUCGGAACUGUUUUUCAAAGCUAACGCAUUAAGUAGACGCCUGGGGAGUACGGCCGCAAGGUUAAAACUCAAAUGAAUUGACGGGGGCCCGCACAAGCGGUGGAGCAUGUGGUUUAAUUCGAUGCAACGCGAAGAACCUUACCUACACUUGACAUACAGAGAACUUACCAGAGAUGGUUUGGUGCCUUCGGGAACUCUGAUACAGGUGCUGCAUGGCUGUCGUCAGCUCGUGUUGUGAGAUGUUGGGUUAAGUCCCGCAACGAGCGCAACCC